UUAGUACUCCCUCUGUCCCAAAUUUCUUGUCUUAGAUUUGUCUAGAUACGGAUGUAUCUAAUACUAAAAUGUGACUUGAUACAUUCGUAUCUAGAAAAAAUCUAAGACAAGAAUUUUGGGACGGAGGGAGUAAUAA
rnacentral:pre_miRNA from 1 species